AUUGAACGCUGGCGGCAUGCCUUACACAUGCAAGUCGAACGGCAGCGGACCUUCGGGUGCCGGCGAGUGGCGAACGGGUGAGUAAUAUAUCGGAACGUACCUUUCAGUGGGGGAUAACGUAGCGAAAGUUACGCUAAUACCGCAUAUUCUGUGAGCAGGAAAGCAGGGGAUCGCAAGACCUUGCGCUGAUUGAGCGGCCGAUAUCAGAUUAGCUAGUUGGUGAGGUAAAGGCUCACCAAGGCGACGAUCUGUAGCGGGUCUGAGAGGAUGAUCCGCCACACUGGAACUGAGACACGGUCCAGACUCCUACGGGAGGCAGCAGUGGGGAAUUUUGGACAAUGGGCGCAAGCCUGAUCCAGCCAUGCCGCGUGAGUGAAGAAGGCCUCGGUUGUAAGUA
rnacentral:rRNA from 1 species